UGGUUUGUAGCUAUUUAAGUGAUGGUCUUGUAAACCAUCGAAGGGGGGCCUCCCCCCGAACCCG
rnacentral:tRNA from 1 species